rnacentral:lncRNA from 1 species
AUGGGGCUUGGCUCGAGCUUUGAUGCCCAAGUGGGAGCCCCGGGCUGCUGGCUGGGGAACACCCCCUGCUCUCCCUGUGGCUUGCACUGGCCCUCAGACAUCCCCUUUCUCCCCCCAUCCACAGCAGAAUCAUGUGGUACGUACGCGGCAAAGAUGAACAUGCUCAGAAGUCUCCCCAGGGAGACGAGGGCACCUGGCAGACGGCAGGCAAGACCGAAGACCAUCCCUGGGCAAAGAAAUCAGAGAAAAGUCAGGCCUGUCUCUAGAGGUCUCUUCUCAAGCAUCCCCAGCCACGCAUGUUUUGGCUCCCUGCAGGGAGGCGGGCACAGAGUCCUACGCACUCCCUCCCUGGGGCAAAGAGCAGGGCAGCCCCCACUUCUCCUGCCGCUUGGGACAUUUGACCAGAGCUCAGGCACAGCGCGGCUCUCUGAGUUCACCCCCCAGGACAUCCCUCAAGCAGCAGCGCUGAGCUUACUUGCAACUUCCAUGGCCUUGCUACACUCUGCAGGCUCUCGAGCGUCUGUCACCAGCUUCACCUCCACGCAGAGGUUCCUAUGGGAAAAAAAAGGUGCCGAUUGCCAAGUGUCCCCGCGCUGUGUGAGUCUGCCAGAGGUCGGCCUCAGGAAGCCUCCCAGGGGCCACCCCCACUUCAUCGAGAGAGGGCAGCACAGCUGGGCUGCUUCCAGGGGUCCCCCCUCUCCCCUCCCCAUCCUUUGCUCUACAGGCCUGCGGUGGGAGAAGAGGCAGCAGGCUGGCAGCAGCCCCCCGCUGUGGGAAGUCCACUGGCAGCAGAGCCCAAUUCUCGCAUCAUCCCUCCCUGCUCUCUGGCCCCUGGCACCAACCUGCCCCUCGGCAGGCACCUCUCUGUGGCUGUUUGCAGAGGGGGCACCGGCUGCUGUCCCCCACCGGGACUCCCCACCACUUCCCUGGUCACUGGCAGUCCUCCCACCCCUCUCCUCCCCACAGAGCUGCCCCCUCAGCCAGGCAGGACUGUGCCUCAGCACCCCGAGGGGGCCAGUCUCUGGCCCCGGGGGCUCGGUCUCCCCGUGCAGAGACCCCUCCCCGUGCGGCAGCACCAGGUCCUCGACAGCCCCCGCUGCACGCCGGCUCUUGGCCUGGAGACCCGGCCAGGCUCUCAGCCCACCCCCCACAGAAGGGGCUUCGCAGGCCACGGGCUCUUCUUCAGAGCCCCCUGGCGCUUCCCCACACUGCUCCGUGCUCCAGCGCCCGUGUUGGGCUGCGUCCCUACUGCCCCCCUGA